UACGUAGGGUGCAAGCGUUAAUCGGAAUUACUGGGCGUAAAGCGUGCGCAGACGGUUGCGUAAGUCAGAUGUGAAAUCCCCGGGCUCAACCUGGGAAUGGCGAUGGAUACUGGACAGCUAGAGUGUGUCAGAGGAUGGUGGAAUUCCCGGUGUAGCGGUGAAAUGCGUAGAGAUCGGGAGGAACAUCAGUGGCGAAGGCGGCCAUCUGGGACACACUGACGCUGAAGCACGAAAGCGUGGGGAGCAAACAG
rnacentral:rRNA from 1 species